rnacentral:lncRNA from 1 species
CUACAUCGACUAUGGUAUUUCAAUCAUCUUUUUCAAGAGGACAACCAAUCUUCUCCUCCAAUUCUUCUACUAAAUGUUUGCAAUAUUCGACGAACUUGUAGACUUUGAUUGGAGUGUUGAGUGGAUGCAUUACUGCAUCAAUCUCUCUUAGAUGUUUUGGAAUUUUUAUGAUCGCCUGAUUAGCUAGCAUUGCCAAUUUCGAAAAGCAAUCUUUCCAAUGCUUGCCUUUAUCUUCCAAUUCUUUAUAAAUCUCUUGGUUCUUCAAUUGCCCAAGCAACAACAUGAAACGCUCCUCCCAGUAUAUGGUUUCAUCCUUCAAGUCAUUGUAGAUAUU